rnacentral:lncRNA from 1 species
GCCACAUAUUCGUUUUCGUAGCCCAGACCCCAAGCACCAUCCCGUCCUUCGCACCGCCGUUUCACGCUCCUGCCUCACCGGUGAGAUCCCGUGCCUCGCCUCCUCUUCUUUUUCUCUUCCUCCUCCUUUUCCUCCUUCUCCCGCUUAACCUCGCAGCCCCCUCUGCCCCUUUGCAGGUCACGGCCAUGGUUCCCACUUUGCCUGAGCUCGUGCAGAGAGGGCGGCGUCGCCGCCACUCGCCGGCCGGCGGCCACUUCCUCCACUGCGCUUCUUCUCCAUCCAGCACCGACCUCCUCCAUGUCGCCUCCGGCCAUCACCGAGUGCCUCCCUGUUGCCAUUGAAAUGACGGUGUUGCAAAUGGCAACAACAAUGAAAGUGGUGUUGCUGCGACAUCAUCUCUCGUUGCAAAAAAAUUGUAACAUCAUUCAUGUUGCAAAAAUCCUUAGCAACAUCAUCUCUCAUUGCAAAAAAAUAAAAAAAAAUCUGCAACAUCUUCUCUUAGUGCAAAAAAAUUCUGCAACAUCACCCAUGUUGUAAAAG